rnacentral:rRNA from 1 species
CAAUAGCGUAUAUUAAAGUUGUUGCAGUUAAAAAGCUCGUAGUUGGAUUUCUGGUGGGGGUGUUUGGCCGGCUCUAAUGAGUUUUGCGCCUAUACGUCUCCGCCAUCCUUGGGGAAAACUUGCUUGGCAUUAAGUUGUCGAGUUUGGGAUCCCCAUCGUUUACUUUGAAAAAAUUAGAGUGUUCAAAGCAGGCAUUUCGCCUGAAUACUGGUGCAUGGAAUAAUAGAAUAGGACCUCGGUUCUAUUUUGUUGGUUUUCGGAACUUGAGGUAAUGAUUAAGAGGGACGGACGGGGGCAUUCGUAUUACGGUGUUAGAGGUGAAAUUCUUGGAUCGCCGUAAGACGAACUACUGCGAAAGCAUUUGCCAAGAAUGUUUUCAUUAAUCAAGAACGAAAGUCAGAGGUUCGAAGACGAUCAGAUACCAU